UGGGUUAGUGGCGACCUGGUGAGUACAAGUUGGGUAACUUGCCCGAAAGUGGGGGAUAGUCGGGGAAAGAGGGGCUAAUACCGCAUGUGGUCUCUGGGACUUUGGUUCUGGCGACUAAAGCAGUGAUGCGCUUUCGGAUGGGCCCGACUCCCAUUAGCCUGUUGGUGGGGUAAUGGCCUACCAAGGCGUCGAUGGGUAGCUGGCCUGAGAGGGUGGCCAGCCACACGAGGACUGAGAUACGGCCUCGACUCCUACGGGGGGCAGCAGUCUAGAGGCUUCGGCAAUGGGGGCAACCCUGACCGAGCGACGCCGCGUGGAGGAUGAAGGCCUUCGGGUUGUAAACUCCUUUCGGCAGGAAGAAAGGCCCGGGUGGUGAACUCGGGAUUGAUCGACCUGCGGAAGAAGCCCCGGCUAACUUCGUGCCAGCAGCCGCGGUAAUACGAAGGGGGCGAGCGUUAUUCGGAUUUAUUGGGCGUAAAGGGCGCGUAGGCGGCUUUGGAAGUCUGGUGUGAAAACGCUACCGCUCAACGGAGCGAUUGCGCUGGAAACUCCAAAACUUGAGUCAGGGAGAGGUGGACGGAAUACCUGGUGUAGCGGUGGAAUGCUUAGAGAUCAGGUAGAACACCUGAGGCGAAGGCGGUUCACUGGCCCUUGACUGACGCUGAGGCGCGAAAGCGUGGGGAUCAAACGGGAUUAGAUACCCCGGUAGUCCACGCUGUAAACGGUGAGUACUAGCUGUGGGAGGUAACCAUUCCUUCCGUGGCGCCGGUAACCCAUUAAGUACUCCGCCUGGGAAGUACGACCGCAAGGUUGAAACUCAAUAGGAAUUGACGGGGGCCCGCACAAGCGGUGGAGCUAUGUGGUUUAAUUCGAAGCUACGCGAAGAACAUUACCUGGGCUUGAACUGAGGCUUAUAUCAGCUGAAAGACUGUGCCAUUCGGGGGUGCAUUAGUAGAUGCUGCAUGGCUGUCGUCAGCUCGUGUCGUGAGAUGUUGGGUUUAGUCCCGCAACGAGCGCAUACCCCUAUGACCAGUUGCCAGCGCGUAAUGGCGGGGACUCUGGUGAGACUGCCCGCGGUAAGCGGGAGGAAGGUGGGGAUGACGUCAAGUCAUCAUGGCCAUUACGUCCAGGGCUUCUACUACGUGCUACAAUGGCCGAGACAACGCGCUGCGACUUUGCGAGAAGGAGCGAAUCGCUGAUACUCGGUCCCAGUUCGGAUUGGAGUCUGCAACUCGACUCCAUGAAGGUGGAAUCGCUAGUAAUCGCGGAUCAGC
rnacentral:rRNA from 1 species